AGCUAAUAGAUACCCGGGUAGUCCCAGCAGUAAACGGUGCGCGUUUGGUGUGAGCAGAUUCGACUCUGUUCGCGCCGGAGCUAACGCGUUAAACGCGCCGCCUGGGAAGUACGAUCGCAAGAUUAAAACUCAAAGAAAUUGACGGGGGCCCGCACAAGCGGUGGAGUAUGUGGCUUAAUUCGAUGCAACGCGAAGAACCUUACCUGGGUUUGACAUGCAUCUCUAAGGAGGUGAAAGCUUCCGAGGGUAGCAAUACCCGAUUUGCACAGGUGCUGCAUGGCUGUCGUCAGCUCGUGUCGUGAGAUGUUGGGUUAAGUCCCGCAACGAGCGCAACCCUUGUAUGCUGUUGCUAUGCUUACUCAUAGCUCUCUGCGUAGACUGCCCCGUGAAACGGGGAGGAAGGUGGGGAUGACGUCAAGUCAGCAUGGCCCUUACACCCAGGGCUGCACACGUACUACAAUGCUCAGUACAAUUAGAACCUGCCCCGCGAGGGUUGGGAAAUCAGCGAAAACUGAG
rnacentral:rRNA from 1 species